rnacentral:misc_RNA from 1 species
CAAACACGCUCCCAACUCCCCCUCAUCGGGAAGUGGGAUGCGGCAUGUGGCUUCCCGUCGCGCAAGUGGCGGUGGGCCGAAGAUAUGGCUGCCGGCGUAUCAUGCCGGACACAGCGCGUGGUGGGCGUACUCGCUUUACUUACCGCAGUGCAUUUGGCGCGUAGUCGACGUGAUGGCCUUGAAGGACCCUAUAACGGAGUGCAUGACACUUCGA